rnacentral:rRNA from 1 species
AUAUCAAUAAGCGGAGGAAAAGAAACCAACAGGGAUUGCCCUAGUAACGGCGAGUGAAGCGGCAACAGCUCAAAUUUGAAAUCUGGCCUCGGCCCGAGUUGUAAUUUGCAGAGGAUGCUUUUGGUGCGGUGCCUUCCGAGUUCCCUGGAACGGGACGCCACAGAGGGUGAGAGCCCCGUAUGGUCGGACACCAAUCCUGUGUAAAGCUCCUUCGACGAGUCGAGUAGUUUGGGAAUGCUGCUCUAAAUGGGAGGUAAAUCUCUUCUAAAGCUAAAUACCGGCCAGAGACCGAUAGCGCACAAGUA